GACCUUUUGGACAUAACCUUCAAUGUACCGUAGCAUAUUGUUGGUAUAGAGGUAGUGUGUGAGAUCAGGAACAAAACCAAAGCGAUCACAAACAUUAAUAAGAGGCCGAGCAUCGGGAAGUUUGGCUUCCAUCAAGAAGUUCGAACAAAACCAAAGCGGUCACAAACAUUAAUAAGAGGCCGAGCAUCGGGAAGUUUGGCUUCCAUCAAGAAGUUCUUCGUCUUUUCAGGGUCAUAGAAGUUUGAUUCUCUUGUGACGCGCUCAACUUCCUUGAUUUGUCCAGUCCUGGCAGCUGCCUCAAUAUAUUUGAAGUGAAUAUCAGGAUCCUCACUGCAGGAAAUAAAAAAUGAGUGGUUGACCAA
rnacentral:lncRNA from 1 species